ensembl:misc_RNA 7SK 7SK RNA
GAAUGUGAGGGCGAUCUGGCUGUGACAUCUGUCACCCCAUUAAUCGCCAGGGUUGAUUCGGCUGAUCUGGCUGGCUAAGUGGCUGUCCCCUUCCUCCCUCACCACUCCAUGUUCAUGCCUCCCAAAGCUGUGUUCUCAGUCAAAGAGGACAACCAUCUCCACUAGAAGAGGACCAGUCUUUGGGCAAGGGUAUACGAGUAGCUGCGCUUCCCUGAUGGAACCUCCAGACAAGCUCUCAAGUCCAUUUGUAGGAGAACAUAGGGUAGUCAAGCUUCCAAGAUUCCAGACACAUCCAAAUGAAGUGCUGCAUGUGGCAGUCUGCCUUUCUUU